UACGGUGGGGGCAAGCGUUGUUCGGAAUUACUGGGCGUAAAGGGCUCGUAGGCGGCCAACUAAGUCAGACGUGAAAUCCCUCGGCUUAACCGGGGAACUGCGUCUGAUACUGGAUGGCUUGAGUGUGGGAGAGGGAUGCGGAAUUCCAGGUGUAGCGGUGAAAUGCGUAGAUAUCGGGAGGAACACCUGUGGCGAAGGCGGCCCCCUGGUCGGAUACUGACGCUGAGACGCGAAAGCGUGGGGAGCAAACAGG
rnacentral:rRNA from 1 species